CCAAUAGCGUAUAUUAAAGUUGUUGCAGUUAAAAAGCUCGUAGUUGAACUUCGGGGUUCACCCAUUGGUCAGGCUUAAUUGUCUGCACUGGUGAGAUGAGUCUCUACCUUCUGAGGAACUUUCAUGCCAUUUAUUUGGUGUGGUUGGAAAUCAGGACUGUUACUUUGAAAAAAUUAGAGUGUUUAAAGCAGGCUAACGUCUGAAUACAUUAGCAUGGAAUAAUGAAAUAGGACGGACUGAUUCUAUUUCGUUGGUUUCUAGGAUCACCGUAAUGAUUAAUAGGGAUAGUUGGGGGCAUUAGUAUUCAAUUGCCAGAGGUGAAAUUCUUGGAUUUAUUGAAGACUAACUACUGCGAAAGCAUUUGCCAAGGAUGUUUUCAUUAAUCAAGAACGAAAGUUAGGGGAUCGAAGACGAUCAGAUACCGUCGUAGUCUUAACCAUAAACUAUGCCGACUAGGGAUCGGACGAAGUUAAUUUUAUAAUGACGCGUUCGGCACCUUACG
rnacentral:rRNA from 1 species